rnacentral:sRNA from 1 species
AAACCCAGAGAAAAUAGAAAUGCCACCACCUCGGUGCCAGAUCUCCUAGAUGCCCACCUACAGGUAAGGCAUCUUACCAGUUCUUAUGCACUGCAAUGGCCACUAAAUACCUUUAUCAAUGAAUGUGUCAACCUUUCUGGCAUAUGACCAGCCCACAAUAAGUUACUGUGGGGUGCAUCAUGAACUUCUCUCCCAUAAGUCCUUUGAAACGAAUGCACAGGAAGAUACGAUGGAAACACACCUAGAGACUGAGCUGGACCUGAGCACAAUCACAACAGCUGGCCGAAUCAGUGACCAUAAACAGCAGCUAGCUUAACUGAGAUCAUUGGUAGCCAGGGGUUGCUACCAAACUUUGUAACCUCAAGGACAAAAUGAGGAAGAUGUGUUCAUUGUGGACUCUAAAAACAAAACAAAACACAAAAUCCCCUGUUCAAAUAAACAAAAAAUCC